UUCCUCUGAAAACGAGGCACAGAUUUUACAGGAAAAAAUUGGAUCACCCUACCCCUAUUAGCAAGGCCAGUCACAGGACCAGCCAACAGGAGGGAUUGCAUGGCACUUGAUGCAGCCAUUUUCUAGCACGCCUAUAAUUUCUGACCUGAACAAGAAUAGCAAAAGCUAGGGAAGAUCUUUGAGGAGGUAUAAAGCAAGAAGCCAAGAACUUUAUUAACCUAUAGCUUAAUCAAGA
rnacentral:lncRNA from 1 species